rnacentral:rRNA from 1 species
UACGGAGGCAGCAGUGGGGAAUAUUGCACAAUGGGCGCAAGCCUGAUGCAGCCAUGCCGCGUGUAUGAAGAAGGCCUUCGGGUUGUAAAGUACUUUCAGUCGUGAGGAAGGUGUUAAGGUUAAUAACCUUAGCAAUUGACGUUAGCGACAGAAGAAGCACCGGCUAACUCCGUGCCAGCAGCCGCGGUAAUACGGAGGGUGCGAGCGUUAAUCGGAAUUACUGGGCGUAAAGGGCACGCAGGCGGUUAAUUAAGUUGGAUGUGAAAUCCCCGGGCUUAACCUGGGAAUGGCAUUCAAGACUGGUUAGCUAGAGUCUUGUAGAGGGGGUAGAAUUCCAUGUGUAGCGGUGAAAUGCGUAGAGAUGUGGAGGAAUACCGGGUGGCGAAGGCGGCCCCUGGGACAAAGACUGACGCUCAUGUGCGAAAGCGUGGGGAGCAAACAGGAUUAGAUACC